rnacentral:rRNA from 1 species
AUGCUAGGAUGUCGGGCAGCCCCAACCCCAAUUGAUCAAAACCACAAAGUGACUGCUCAGUCAGGAGAGCCAAUGGAUAAGGAGAGCUAUCAGCGAUUGGUGGGAAGAUUGUUGUACUUGUGUCAUACACAACCGGACAUUGCAUUUGCAGUAAGUGUUGUGAGAAGAUACAUGCAUGAGCCUAGAAGUGGACAUCUUGACGCAGUACAUAGAAUCUUGAGAUACUUGAAAGGUUCUCCUGGGAAAGGACUGUUGUUCAAGAGUUAUGGACAUCUUGUUGUAGAUUGUUAUUGUGAUGCUGAUUGGGCUAGCUGUCUGGAUGACAGGAGGUCAACUUCAGGCUAUUGUGUCUUUGUAGGACGAAAUCUAGUAUCUUGGAGAAGCAAGAAACAACCUGGUGUUUCCAAAUCAACUGCAGAGGCGAAUAUAGAGCCAUGUCCGAGGGACCGAGUGAGAUGUUGUGGACCAGAAAUCUAUUGGCAGAAUUGA